GGCUGCCGCUUCAUCGUGGCUGAGAUCGGCCUGGGCUUUGGCGUCUGCUUCCUGCUGCUGGUGGGCGGCAGCGUGGCCAUGGGCGUGAUCUGCACAGCCAUCGCCCUCUUCCAGACGCUGGCCGUGCAGGUGGGGCGCCAGGCCGACCGCCGCGCCUUCACCGUGCCCACCAUCGUGGUGGAGGACGCGCAGGGCAAGCGGCGCUCCUCCAUCGAUGGCUCGGAGCCCGCCAAAACCUCUCUGCAGACCACGGGCCUCGUGACCACCAUAGUCUUCAUCUACGACUGCCUCAUGGGCUUCCCUGUGCUGUGGUGAGCUUCAGCAGCCUGCGGGCCGACGCCUCAGCGCCCUGGAUGGCACUCUGCGUGCUGUGGUGCUCCGUGGCCCAGGCCCUGCUGCUGCCUGUGUUCCUCUGGGCCUGCGACCGCUACCGGGCUGACCUCAAAGCUGUCCGGGAGAAGUGCAUGGCCCUCAUGGCCAACGACGAGGAGUCAGACGA
rnacentral:lncRNA from 1 species